CUGUAACUGGUGCUAAAUCAGUACUGAUGGUCUGUGUAACAAUAAAAAUGUAGAAGAAGUUUAGUGUUGUAACUGAAAAUCACAUUUAGAAAAAUUUGGAUUCUACAGCUUUAAUAUAAACAAAGAAACUAGAAGUGAUACAUAUUUAAUAAACAUUAAAAAAAAGUAAAAAUCCAGAUAAAUCAGGUUUAAUUUAUGGCUGAUAAAGAUAGAAACCUGGUUCAUAUAUGUGAAAUAUAAAUUAAGCCUUUAUACUGUCCUCUAUAGCAAAUAGUUGGCACAGUAAUAGAGAAAAAAAAACAGUUUUUCAUUGUAAACAGAAUGAAUACAGCAUAUUUUACAGAAAAAAUCUUUAUUGGUGGGCCCUACAGAAUGUCAAAAGCAAAA